UUCACGCCACGAAUAAAUCAAAAAUAUUUUUAACAACGUAUUUUCUUAUUGCUCACGAUAACCGAAAUUUGCAUGUUAAACAAGCGCAGUGUUGCCAGAAUUUAUUAAAGCGGCCACUUUCUUAUUCCUUUCAUUAAAUAUUUAAGACUCGGCUCAGAUCUGCCUGAUGAUCCAACACAAUGAAACAAAAACAAAUAACUAAGCACAACAUCUUAGAUAUAGAUGCAAUGCUAUAAAUAACCAAGUGACUAAAUCCAAUCGAAAUUAAUUCUGGAAUUGCAAGUCAAUUUUUUAUGCUGGGCCUUAGAAGAUGCUCAGCCUUCUGUUGGGCAACAAUGCCAAUGAACACACCCAUUUCGACAUCGACAACAACGUGGACAACAACAGCAGGAACGAGCGAGUCGUAUCUUGUGGACACACAUCUGGUAUCGGGCAGAACGUUUCCCAUUUGAAAUGUAAACAAAAACAAAACAUGCUGCCCGCACAUUUCGGACACAAACAAAAGGAAACGCCGCCUGCGAAGUCAUUAAAAGAUGCAGAUAAAACUGAAAACCGCACACAGUUCCAGUCGCCGUUCUGAGAGUUGAACUUCGUAUCUGUAUCUUUUGCUGUUCAUAGGUCUAUGU